rnacentral:rRNA from 1 species
GGGGAAUAUUGCACAAUGGGGGAAACCCUGAUGCAGCGACGCCGCGUGAAGGAAGAAGUAUUUCGGUAUGUAAACUUCUAUCAGCAGGGAAGAAAAUGACGGUACCUGACUAAGAAGCCCCGGCUAAUUACGUGCCAGCAGCCGCGGUAAUACGUAAGGGGCAAGCGUUAUCCGGAUUUACUGGGUGUAAAGGGAGCGUAGACGGCAGUGCAAGUCUGAUGUGAAAGCCCGGGGCUCAACCCCGGGACUGCAUUGGAAACUGUGCAGCUAGAGUGUCGGAGAGGUAAGUGGAAUUCCUAGUGUAGCGGUGAAAUGCGUAGAUAUUAGGAGGAACACCAGUGGCGAAGGCGGCUUACUGGACGAUAACUGACGUUGAGGCUCGAAAGCGUGGGGAGCAAACAGG